ensembl:lncRNA
UAUUUAAAAAAAACAAGAAUCAAUGGUUUAUAUGAUGCGGCAAGGCUUAUUCUCACAAUUUCUCUUUCAACACUCUCUCUCUUCCUCUCUCACUUUAAUUGUCAAGUUCUCUCCAUCGCCGCAAGAGGCUUUUUUUUCUGUUCUCUCGAAAAGGGCACUUAGAUACCAACGUGGUGGCAGAGAAGAGAGCGCUUCAGACUGUCCGCGCUGCUCCUGCUAGGACUGCUCCUCAUAGGGGAUCAUAUAUUUUCGAAAAACACAAGUCGGAUAAAAAGGAACAGUCUCUCCCAACUUGCUACCCGAGUCUGCUUUGACAUUUUCCCACGUAAAAAGGACGUGAGGACUUGCAGUCCCUGCGUUAAAAGGACAAGAUCACCAACAGAACUAAAGCCAACCUAACUAAAGCAGCUGUAAACGUGGGCUUGUAGAGGACGGAGAGUAUCCAUUCUACCACGCUCCAGAUCACCACUAGACAUUCUUCAGAGGACAAGAAAUCCAUGCUGGACAACCCAGCCUUCUAUCUACGACCAAUCUAUCGAAGGGCAGUUCAGAGUAAAUACUGUAUUUAUUGCAUUUUCCUUUUUCAAAUGGGUGGUUAUUUAGAAUGCAUAAGAUACUGUAUUUACGAUAGCAUUGUUUCUUCCUUUGUUACUUUUUCUUCCCGCUCUUUUUCUCUCAAACCCAACCCCCUUUCUUUGUGUAACCAGCCGUCAUAUCUGUUCCAUCCGCUAAGGACAUUUUCCUUUAUGAUAAUGUGUUCAUAAUAAUAAUAUUGAUAAUCAAAUCAAAUUUAUUUA